UUACUAUGUAGUUCAGGCUGGCCAUGAACUCCAGUGAUCCUCCUGCCUCAGCCUCCCAAGAGCUGGAAUUACCACCAUGCUCUGGCAGCUAUUGCGUUCAAAAUUUACCUUUUGGAUAGUUUAGGUAUCAACACACAUUGCUCUAACUACUAAACAGUUUGCCUAUGACACAGGAAUCUUCCCAGUCUGAAAGUUCAUCCUAGUCACUGCAAGAUACGAGAAAAAGGUAAAGCAGAAACCAGAAGGCGGGCACACAACUGUUAAAACCACCAGUGCAUUCUUCUGUGCUCAGGUGUCCUGAAGAGAAGUGAAGCAAAUGGGAAGUUGGUCUCAAAUACUAUGAAGAAGUUGAAACCAGGAGCUGUUGGAUAAUAAGGACGGACCAAGGAAAAUGUGGCUCUAGAACACAGAGGUCAGUCGAUUACCUGACCCCGUGGAGGUGGGGCCGGUCUGGUUGAUGAGCAAACCAGAGGCAGGAGUGGCACUUCAGAGGAAAGCCGAGCUCAGAUUUUGAACAGAUAAGCAGCCACCGCUGUGUUUGAAAGGCUUAUUUUUAUUUUGUACUCAUAAAGAUCGCCUUUCCAACAUCUGCCUCGUGUUUAUAAACUGAAAGUUCCUGAUUCCAAUAUUUUGUUAUGAAAUUGAAUUAUCACAGUCUGGGAUUGUGCAACCACAAAUAAACGGCCCCCUGGUGGAGCUGAUCUAAACUGCAAGGGACUCAUGGUCUUGGGAGCCUCGCGAUGCUUCUGCGCCUCCAGGGCAGCUCCGCAGCCGCCUGUUUCAGAGAUAAGAGAAAACGCAGUCAAAUCUGUUACCUUCGUUUGUCUCUGGGAACAGGGCAGAAUAUUGGAGCUGAUGGAACAGAGACCAGUGCCAUUAAUGUGCAAACGCCCUGGCCUGUGACCGGUGGUCUCCUAGGCGGAAUGGAGCCUAUCAUAUCACAUAGAGGCCUCCCAGAGUGAAGAAAUAUAUGGAACUUUGGGAAUCAUUCCAGAGUCUAAAACUGCACUCCAGUUUGCCAGCCGGCAGCCACAUGUGGCUAGCGAGUAUCUGAAAUGUGGCUAGUUUAAGCUGACAGGUGCUGUUGGAUAAAAACAAGUCACAUGUGAGGAACGUGAAAAAAUGUAAAAAUACUAGUUUUAUAAUGAUUGCAAGUUAAGUAAUAAUUGGAUCCAUCCAGUUGAAUGAAACAUACUUU